UUGACUGAAGCUUUAAGCAUCUUACUGUUACUAAGAAAUAAGAAUAAAUUUAUUCCUGUCAAG
rnacentral:tRNA from 1 species